rnacentral:rRNA from 1 species
UGGGGAAUUUUGGACAAUGGGCGAAAGCCUGAUCCAGCAAUGCCGCGUGUGUGAAGAAGGCCUUCGGGUUGUAAAGCACUUUUGUCCGGAAAGAAAUCCUUGGCUCUAAUACAGUCGGGGGAUGACGGUACCGGAAGAAUAAGCACCGGCUAACUACGUGCCAGCAGCCGCGGUAAUACGUAGGGUGCAAGCGUUAAUCGGAAUUACUGGGCGUAAAGCGUGCGCAGGCGGUUUGCUAAGACCGAUGUGAAAUCCCCGGGCUCAACCUGGGAACUGCAUUGGUGACUGGCAGGCUAGAGUAUGGCAGAGGGGGGUAGAAUUCCACGUGUAGCAGUGAAAUGCGUAGAGAUGUGGAGGAAUACCGAUGGCGAAGGCAGCCCCCUGGGCCAAUACUGACGCUCAUGCACGAAAGCGUGGGGAGCAAACAGGAUUAGAUACCCUGGUAGUCCACGCCCUAAACGAUGUCAACUAGUUGUUGGGGAUUCAUUUCCUUAGUAACGUAGCUAACGCGUUAAAUCGACCGCCUGGGGAGUACGGCCGCAAGGUUAAAACUUAAAGGAAUUGACGGGGUCAUAGCU